UACGGGGGGGGCAAGCGUUGUUCGGAAUUACUGGGCGUAAAGGGCUCGCAGGCGGCCGACUAAGUCAGACGUGAAAUCCCUUGGCUUAACCAAGGAAUGGCGUCUGAUACUGGACGGCUUGAAUCCGGGAGAGGGAUGUGGAAUUCCAGGUGUAGCGGUGAAAUGCGUAGAUAUCUGGAGGAACACCGGUGGCGAGGGCGGCAUCCUGGACCGGUAUUGACGCUGAGGAGCGAAAGCCAGGGGAGCAAACGGG
rnacentral:rRNA from 1 species